GGGUUGUGACCGUGGCGGCAUGUGAGUGGUUAUCGAUGUGAGUUCUUCGUCAGGCUCCCUGCUUUAUUGCGGCCAACUGAUGAAUUCCAUAUCUCUUUCGUACCUAUGCCAUUAGAUUUUGCUAGGUUUAUUGGCGCCCUCAUGUAAAAUCUGUCGGGUCCGUUAUUGAAUGCUAAAUAAUGUUAUUAUAUACCGUCCCUCCUCUUGUCCUAGUGUUUACGAGGGGUGUACGAAGUUGGAUUCUUUUUUUGAUAGUUUGGUUACAUUCGGGAAUCAAUUUUCUAUCGUAGAUGCUCCUAAAUAUUUUACGGAUGUUGUGCACGCUUAAAUUUUUGGGGAAGCCUUCCUGUCGAUUGAUAUAAUUCGGUAUUGUCCGCACUUCAUGAAAGAUGCCCGCAUGGGUCGUCGCGCUCCUUUAUUGAGGAGUGUAGACGUCAUUGUGUUGGUGCCUAAGAGGAUGUGCUACCUGGUUGAUCCUGCCAGUAGUC
rnacentral:misc_RNA from 1 species